rnacentral:antisense_RNA from 1 species
GAUAAUGCAAGUGUUUAACAGAUGCUUCACUAUUAAAAUAUUUUCCCCCCAAGUCUCAAAUAUUGAAGAAUCUCUAACCAGGGACACCAGUCCCAACGAAGACCUUGGGCGAUUUCAAAGUGCGGGCACCUCGAUUCCCCGAAUCUGUAGUGUGGCUGGUAUCGGUGUUUCCCUGGUUUAACUAGCCUGCUUGAAGGCGCAGAUCAUUCAUGGGGAAGUAAAACCGAAACCAGUCCUCUCCACCCCCUGCGGGUCUUCACUUUCCCAGUCUACAUCUGCCUGUGACUCCAGAAAGACAAACUGCAGAUUGGCCAAGGUCCAGCCUAAAUGUUACCUCCUCCAGGGAGCCUUUCCAGAUACUGCUUCUCCUCUCUCCCCCAACUCCCUCCCACAAAUGAAGUAUUCUCUUCUGAAUUCCUUCCUGGUGCUGUCACUUGUAUUGUUUUGGGUAGAUCUCUGGGCAUGCAUAUGUCACCUUCUGUGACUGUGGGUUUCUUGACAACCUAAUCAAUGCAUUGAACAAAGGAGAUGUUUAGACAACCCAUAUAAAAUGAAUGACUAAGAGAAAUCGGGUGAAUACCGUCUACCCCAAUUGCAAUCAGAUUAGUUUCCUCUAUUUUGAAAACGAUUAGAACUAGUAGAGGAGUUAAAUGUCGCCCACUAGGGAACAAAUCUUCAUCUCCAAGCCGUCCUCUGGCUCGAUCGGGUCUGCACUGGGUCUCAUCAACUUACGCUGGCUCAGAGGGAGGCUCAGCCACAGCCUGGCCUUUCUGGUGCCCACUCCCAACAUCCUGAGCUCCGAGUCGGAGCUUGGCAGGGCCGACUCUAGGCACCCCACGAUUGGCUGAGUGAUCUCGGGCAAGGACCUAGGCGUCUCUAAGUCUUAGUUUCCCCAUCUGAACACUGGGGAUAAUGACACGUACCUGGGGUGGACAGGCUAGAGUAAAUGGGAAAAUCAAAGCGCCAGCCAGAGCGGGUCGCGCUCAGUUAGUAUUCUGUAUUUUCUCCUCCUGCCUCUUUGGUUUCUUCCGUUCCCUUCUAGCUGCCUGAAGAUCCAGCCCGACAGCGAUGCCUGCCAGCCCGCGUCGCCCACCAGGGCAGCUGCUCUCCCGACUCGCAUGGGGGGCACCACCCCGCCUCGGUGCCCUGGAGCUGAGCGCAGCCGCGGCUCCACGGGGAUCGCCAGGGCCUCAACCCUCGCGGCCGGCGGCGCGCGAGUGUUGCGGGGCAGGGACCAGAGUGCGACCAGAGCGGCCACCCCCGAUUUAGGUCGCCAGCUUUCCAAUCACUGCGAUGGCCACUGGGGCGCCCCUUCCAUCCUGGUUAAAUUAUCAUUGUGAUCCCCAGCCCCCUUCUCGGUUCCCAACACCCAGGAGGCCGGUUCUCCGCCGCUCAGGCCGGGAGAGGUCACAGCUCCGGGCAGGGUGGACCCCCAGCUCCGUCUCGGAGGGCCUUUCGCCGGAGGCGAGCAGGAAGGGGUUAACCAUGAGCCUCCCACCCUCACCUCCCAGCCCCUGGUGCCGGGCGAGCGAAGGCCUCCGCUUCCCUCCUGAGGUCUCAUUAGGAAACCCUCACCGCUAUUUUCAACAUUUCCUCAAUCAAGUGCCUUUAAAUAGAGCUGCACAAACAGAUUGGCGGCAAAAGCGUAGAUCUUGUCACGAUUGAGACCAAUCCAAUAUUUCGGCCUUGUUUGCUUUGCAAUUACGGGUUGGCUUGUGGCUGCGGUGCCACCGGGGCAAAUCUGCAGCCGCUCGCUUUCUCCUCUGCACUCCGGGCGGGUGGAGGAAGCGACCCGCGGAGUCACUGCAGGGAGGAGAGGGGGACGCGCGUGGGGGGAGGCGGCGGAGGGCGGAGGAGCCUCGCUUGCACCCCAGGGCCUCUGGCACGCAGAGCUGUGUUGAAGGACAUACUUUUCAGGUUCCUGACAGUCACUGAGCUAUACGCAAUAAUAAAAUGCGUGAUUCGCGUGUGGAAACCAGUGUCGUGUCCUUACCAGCUUCCUUUUCUGCCCACCUUCCCUCUCUCUUCUACCUCCGUUUCGCUUUUCUUCAGUGUAUGUUAGCGGUUUGCUGGAUUUUCCUUCUCCCUCGCUGUUCAACUGCUAGCAUGAUUUGUUACAUUUUCCACAGCUGUUUAUUCUUGUUUGACUUUUUGUACAAAGUCACUUUAAAUCUGCUGCAGAAAGAAUAAAGCUCCUAGCCCUUUGGAUGGGCUCCUGCAGGCGUGUGGCUGUCCCUGGCCCACUUUUAAUUCUUUGAAAAUGGCUCUUCUGUGUAAAUCAGCUGCUGGGUGCGUUCGGUCACCUCGUAGGCCAGCCUAGUUUGUGUCAGCAGAACAGUAGUGAACUCAAAUCAGGUCGUAAGCCUUAUAUUUCACAGACAAUUAAAUCUUGGCUGCUGUUGAACAAAACUGUAAUAUUUACUCUGCUCUAUACCGAGGAGCACUUUUAAAGUAAAAA